CACGUAGGUUCCGAGCGUUAUCCGGAUUUACUGGGCGUAAAGCGCGUUCAGGCGGUUUGGCAAGUCGGGCAUGAAAUCUCUCGGCUCAACCGGGAGAGGUUGUCCGAUACUUCCAGACUUGAGGGCAGUAGAGGGUGGUGGAAUUCCGGGUGUAGUGGUGAAAUGCGUAGAUAUCCGGAGGAACACCAGUGGCGAAAGCGGCCACCUGGACUGCACCUGACGCUGACACGCGAAAGCUAGGGGAGCGAACGGG
rnacentral:rRNA from 1 species